rnacentral:rRNA from 1 species
CUGCUGCCUUCCGUAGGAGUUUGGGCCGUGUCUCAGUCCCAAUGUGGCCGUCCACCCUCUCAGGCCGGCUACUGAUCGUCGCUUUGGAAGGCCGUUACCCUGCCAACUGGCUAAUCAGACGCGGGUCCAUCAUAUACCACCGGAGUUUUUCACACUGAGUCAUGCGACUCCGUGCGCUUAUGCGGUUUUAGCAGCAAUUUCUCGCUGUUAUCCCCCUGUAUAUGGCAGGUUACCCACGCGUUACUCACCCG